GUCUACGGCCAUACUACCCUGAAUGCGCCCGAUCUCGUCUGAUCUUAGAAGCUAAGCAGGGUUGGACCUGGUUAGUACUUGGAUGGGAGAAAGAGAGUUUCAGGUAUGUGUGUU
rnacentral:rRNA from 1 species